rfam:Picoides pubescens contig64063, whole genome shotgun sequence.
GCGCGAGGCGGGCGAGAGGCGCUGCUUGUGCGGGGGCCUCUCGCCAUUGAUGACCGUUCCCGGCUCUGCCUUGUGCGGAGCUGGGAGGGAGAGAGCACUGGCUGAGUGGU